AAUGGCGGCAGAGGUGCUUGGUGCUUUGCUUUUUGUGGUUGAUUUUGAUUAUUUCAUCCAUAUUUCAUCAUUUUCGAUUUUGCAAUUAAUCUUUUUAAUCAUAGCAGAUCGGAUCACAUAUUUUAAUUUAAAGUUGUUUGAUCGGCUGGUUUGUUGGUGGCUUAUUGAUUAUUUCUUUCUGGUCCCUUGGAAUUUUCAUUUUUUCGGAUGUAUUAGAUAGAAUUCGGAAUCUGAAGAACAUAUAGAAAUGGGACAGGAAAAUAAAUUAUCUUGAUGAGACCUGGAUAAAUUCUGAAUAUAGCUGAAAUAUAGAUAUAUAAUUUGGUGCCCUCAUCAAGACAGCCUUUCUUAAAUGGUCUUUGAACAAGCUUAAACAAUCUAUCAGCCAUCACAAAAUGAUGUAUUGUCUGUUUCUUCCCCAGUUUAUGGACUUGAACCAAACAAAUCUGGCGAGUAUCACGAAGAAAUGGAUGGGAAAUCAAUUUGACUAAUAGUUGAAAACUAAACUUAGUAGUGCAAAAAUAACCCUUUAGAGUUAUUUUUUUACUCUAAAUAUUGUCACAUUUUAAUGUAUUAUAAUUAGUUUGUAGACCAAUAAAUAACAGAUACUUGUUGAGUUUCAUUCAAGCUGAAAGUCACAAAAUGAAAAUUUUGCUGAUUUUUAGUGUGAUUCCCCCCCAAAAAAAUGAAAUGAAACCUUUGUAUCUAGAUCAAGGGCAUGCACACGAUGGGAUCAGGUUUCUGUUGUGUUUUUAUUUGUGGGAUUAUUGGUCACAGCAAAGACUACAACAUGUUACAUGUUCGCCACAUACCUAAAUUUCAUCACUCUCCCGGUUAAAAUUUUAUAUAGUUAAUACUAUCUUAAACGUCUAGGAGAGGUAUUGAUUUUUAAGGAACGGCGUAAAAGGGUAACAGAUUGUUCAUUUAUUUUUACAGGAGUACAAAGAACUUCCAUAGGUAAAAGGUAUCUCUUGUUGCGUUUAUAGGUUUUUCAGGGGUUCGGAAGGAGCGGCAUCUUUGACUGAAUAGGCAGAGAAUAUAUUUGUCAGCGCCUGCUUGGUUGGCAACACUAAUGAUUGGUUUCGUCAUUGGCUCAUCUAAUAAAGAUUAUUUCAGCUGUGAUAUUUUGGGAAUGCUACAUGGACUGUAGACUCUUCCUAAAUGAAAAGAUAAAUUUAUCAACUCGUAAUGGUAAAAUAGUUUUUUAUGUAUGUCAUCAAACAUGUUUAUGUAAAUUGCUUUCAGUUGUACAUACGCAAGCAGUACAUACUCUCAGCAAAACCUCUCAGUCUUGUAAAUGUAGAUACAUUUCAAUAGCAGCUAUUGAAAUACAGCUGCUGUAUAUUAUGUGUACAUUUAACAACUUCCUAUACCUCCCUCCCUUUUGUACAUGGUAUUUUUGGUACUGGAUCUGGUUUGGUUCAUGAAGUUGCAUCUGUUGAGAACAGUCGCAUCUGUUGAUAUAUUGUUCAAUAUCUUGAUGUAUCAAUUGUCAUCAUAUCUCCACCUCUUGCUAAUAGUUUUAUCUUCACUAUUGCUUUACGUUGUGAGUGGAGAAGUUUUAAUAUUUUGUCUUUUAGUGAACUUCAGGAAGUUUCAUAGAAAUUGUAUAAGUUUGAUUGAUUGAUAAAUUAUAUUCUGAAGCUUUAUUGUUCAUAAAUUAUUUCUGAGUA